rnacentral:rRNA from 1 species
UCGAUCAUGGCUCAGAUUGAACGCUGGCGGGAUGCUUUACACAUGCAAGUCGAACGGCAGCACGACUUAGUCUGGUGGCGAGUGCGAACGGCAGAAAGUAAUGUAUCGGAACGUGCCUAGUAAAGGGGGAUAACUACGCGAAAGCGUGGCUUAUUGGCCCGCAUACGCCCCUUCGGGGGAAAGCGGGGGGACCUUUCGGGCCUCUGCACCAUUAGAGCGGCCGAUAUCGGAUUAGCUAGUUGGUGGGGUAACGGCUCACCAAGGCGACGAUCCGUAGCUGGUUUGAGAGGACGACCAGCCACACUGGGACUAUAUGCCCAGACUCCUACGGGAGGUGAAACAGUGGGAAUUUUUGAUAAUGGGGAAACCUGAUCCAGCCAUCCUGUGCGAUGAAGGCCUUCGGGUUGGGAAGCACUUCCUUUUAAAGGGGAAAGAAACGGCAACGUGACAAUACCCGCAACUGACGGUACCUGCACAGCACCGGCUAACCACGCCGUUGUUACGCGGUACUGCUGUGAAGGUGCAAGCGUUAAUCGGAAUUACUGGGCGUAAAGCGUGCGCAGGCGUUCUGAAAGAAAGAGUGCGGAAAUCCCAGAGCUUUAACCCGGAACUGCAUUUUAAUCACUGAGCUUAGAGUGUGUCAGAGGGAGGUGGAAUUCCGCGUGUAGCAGUGAAAAUGCGUAGAUAUGCGGAGGAACACCGAUGGCGAAGGCAGCUCUUUAUAACACUGACGCUCAUACGAAAGCGUGGGGAGCAAACAGAUUAGAUACCCUGGUAGUCCACGCCCCAAACGAUGUCAACUAGCUGUUGGGGCCUUCGGGCCUUGCAGCGCAGCUAACGCGUGAAGUUGACCGCCUGGGGAGUACGGUCGCAAGAUUAAAACUCAAAGGAAUUGACGGGACCCGCACAAGCGGUGUGAUGAUGUGAUUAAUUCGACGCAACGCGAAAACCUUACCUACCCUUGACAUGUCUGGAAUCCCGAAGAGAUUUGGGAGUGCUCGCAAGAGAACCGGAACACAGGUGCUGCACAGCUGUCAGCUCGUGUCGAGAUGCUGGGUUAAGUCCCGCAACGAGCGCAACCUCCUUGUCAUUAGUUGCUACGAAAGGGCACUCUAAUGAGACUGCCGGUGACAAACCGGAGGGAAGGUGGAUGAUGCUGUCCGCGGUCUUUAUGUGGUAGGGUCAACAUGUCAUACAAGGCCGUCGCACAGAGGGUCGCUAACCCGCGAGGGGAGCCAAUCCCAGAAACCUGAUCGUAGUCCGGAUCGCGGUCUGCAAAUCUCUUCCGACUGCGUGAAGUCGGAAUCGCUAGUAAUCGCGGAUCAGCAUAUGUCGCGGUGAAUAUUCCCGGUCUGCACAUACGCACUGCCCGUCACACCAUGGGGAGUGGGUUUUACCAGAAGUAGUUAGCCUAACCGUAAGGAGGGCGAUUACCACGGUAGAUUCAUGACUGGGGUGAAGUCGUAACAAGGCA